GUCUUUCUGUGCUCUACUUGCUCCUCUCCCUCGCUGAGAUGCAGAGCUAGCUAAGCGCAACAAUGUUAUAACUGAAUACCACAACCCCCAUAAAUCCUCGCCUUCAAGGACGAGAAAGGGAUACGAGAGAUCUGGAUGUUAUGGAGCUGUUCUGGUACUUGAUGGAGUGAUUGUCAAGUCUGUGGAGUGAUACUGGGCUCGAAUCAUCAAGAAAUAUAUUUUUUUGAGCCGCCGAUGCCGAGGAUUUGACGAUUGGUAAGAAGUCGAUGAGGAGAAGUAUGAGAAGAAGAGAGGCAAAACCUGCAGAUGGGUUCGGUGGUCUUCUUCUUUGAUGGGAAUUAGUAUGGGUUUGUUGAGGACCUUGAGGUCAAUGUAUCGAAAACUAUGGUGAAUAGCUCCCCCUUCUUCAAAGUUCUGCAUGCUCUUUGUGAUGGCUUUCUCUAGUUCUAUGAGAGAGAAAUUUAAAAAAGUUGAGUAAAAUAAAGGGGUUUGAUUGGUGCAAGUAGCUGUCAUGUGGCAAUUAAUAUGACCAUUGGAUGAUAUAAAUGGAUGAGAUUAAAAAGAUUUCAGGAAUUCCACCUUAAACAUAU